UGAGGAAUCUUCCACAAUGGGCGAAAGCCUGAUGGAGCAACGCCGCGUGCAGGAUGAAGGCCCUCGGGUCGUAAACUGCUUUUAUAAGUGAAGAAUAUGACGGUAACUUAUGAAUAAGCACCGGCUAACUACGUGCCAGCAGCCGCGGUCAUACGUAGGGUGCAAGCAUUAUCCGGAGUGACUGGGCGUAAAGAGUUGCGUAGGUGGACAAGUAAGCGAAUAGUGAAAUCCGACGGCUCAACCGUAUGGACUAUUACUCGAACUGCUUGUCUCGAGAAUGGUAGAGGUAACUGGAAUUUCUAGUGUAGGAGUGAAAUCCGUAGAUAUUAGAAGGAACACCAAUGGCGUAGGCAGGUUACUGGACCAUUUCUGACACUGAGGCACGAAAGCGUGGGGAGCGAACCGGAUUAGAUACCCGUGUAGUCC
rnacentral:rRNA from 1 species